GAAAAAUUAUGCCCCAAAGCAGAAGCCAAAGUCUACUUUGAUUGUACAAAGAAUCCACAGAAACAAAAAAAUCACACAAAAAAAAGGAAGAAAAAGAGAGCAAAAUCACACACAUACACACAGUUGAAUUUUAAGUUGAAGAUGUAUACAUAAAUCUAAUCAGGUUGAACCUGGACGAUAUGUUGGAAGAUCGAUCUUGUUUGGUUCCUAGGGAUUUCUCAAGAGAAAACAACAACUGGUCGGCCUGCAUUAAUUACAGCCUCGAUAUGAUUGAAGUUCAGAAUGGUAAAAGGCCAUUGGAAAAUAAUCAGGAGGAUGAAGUUGUGCAACGCAAGUUGCCAAAGCUAUCUGAUGCUCGUGAUGGAAAAGAAGUCGUUCUAGCCUCACCACAUGACCAAGCUGGUGAUCAGCGUCAUGAUGAAGAUACUAGUUCUCUUAUUCCUUCCAUUGGCCGAGACAACUCUGUUAGCUCUCUCAUUCAUUGCUCCAGGUCUGAUUUUGGGGCUAUUGCAUCUUUAAAUCGUAGCUUUCGCUCGUUAAUUAGUAGUGGGGAGCUUUACAGACUGAGGCGUCAACAAGGCGUGGUUGAGCAUUGGGUUUAUUUUUCUUGCCAUCUACGUCAAUGGGAAGCUUUUGACCCCAUUCGUCGCCGUUGGAUGCAUCUACCAUCAAUGAAUUUCAAUGAAUGUUUUGUGUUCUCAGACAAGGAGUCUUUAGCAGUUGGGACAGAGCUGCUUGUGUUUGGAAAGGAGAUAUUGUCACAUGUCAUUUAUCGUUAUAGUUUGCUGACAAACAGUUGGUCAGCUGGAACAGAAAUGAACGCACCAAGGUGUUUGUUUGGCUCUGCCAGCUCUGGGGAGAUUGCCAUUCUAGCUGGUGGUUGUGACUCACAGGGCAAUAUCCUCAGCUCAGCAGAACUUUACAAUUCAGAGACUGGAACAUGGAAGACCUUACCAAGCAUGAACAAGCGGCGGAAGAUGUGUUCUGCAGUAUUUAUGGACAAAAAGUUUUACGUAAUUGGAGGCAUUGGAGGUACGGAGUCAUCAAACGCGCUACUGACUUGUGGAGAGGAAUAUGAUUUGAAAACAGGAAAAUGGACUGAAAUUUCGAGCAUGUCUCCUGUCCGAGCUAGGGGUGAUAUGCCUGCUACUUCUGAAGCACCUCCUUUGGUUGCGGUUGUGAAUAAUGAUUUGUAUGCUGCUGAUUAUGCUGACAUGGAGGUGAGGAAGUAUGACAAGAAAAACAAAACAUGGGCUACUAUAGGAAGAUUGCCUGAAAGAGCAGCUUCAAUGAAUGGUUGGGGCUUGGCUUUUCGAGCUUGUGGUGAUAGGCUAAUUGUAAUCGGAGGACCUAGAACCAUGGGUGAAGGGCAUAUCGAAGUUAAUUCAUGGGUUCCUAGUGAAGGACCGCCUCAGUGGAACUUGCUUGGACGAAAGCGAUCUGGUAGCUUUGUGUAUAAUUGUGCUGUCAUGGGUUGCUGACAUAUGAUUUUUGCAAGUAGAUACAGAAUUGGGAAUUCUUGCCAAUUGGUAACUUAUCCCAACCUUUUCGUUUCUGAAUCCUUCUGUUUUAUCUUAUCAGAUUACCAAACUAUACCCAAUAUUCAACAGAAUUACGUUAUUUAGAAGGUCGAUCCUGAGUACGACUUAUCUCAUCUCCCAUUUUCAUUUGCAUAAAACUCCAAAGGCGGCCGCAGAGGUAAAAUAUUAACUUGAAGAUGGGAGCAAUACAGUGAUAGAUUUUGGUUAUGCUGUGAUCCUUAUUUUUCUUGACAUUGUUGAGGAAGAAAAAUAAGGUUUUGUAGUGAUGUUCAUUUGACAUCUUGUUUUAUGUACCAAAUACAUUUAUUCUUGUUGACAACAGGCUACAAGUUGAGACAAUAUUGGUGCCUUUAGAAUGCCUUUCUACUUUCCCUUUAAA
rnacentral:misc_RNA from 1 species